UGUGUGUGUGCGCGCGCGCGCGCGUGUGUGUGUGUACGUGUGUGUAUCGGCCCGAGCUACGGGCUGGAACAUUUGAACCCGAAGCUCCUGCUGUGACUCCCCAAGACUCCGCCGUGCCAGCCACUGCCGAUUCCCAGCGCUCAUCAGCACAAACUUUAUUCUUGGCAAACUUCUCUUUUUCUCCCCUCCUCCUCUGCCCCCUCCCCCUCCAGCAGAUUAAAUGCUCCUCCAGAAGGAAAACCGAAGCGAAAGGGAAGGAAAGAAGCUCUAACGCGGACGUCUGCAGCCCGGGUGGCUCUUUAUUGUUUACUCAGAAGGAAGUGGACUUUUCGGCAUUUUCUGAUUUUCCUCGCACCUCCGCGGAGGCAAACGGAGCCUUCUUGAACCAGCUCUUCUCUUCUCAAAAGAAAAAAAAAAUC
rnacentral:lncRNA from 1 species